CUGCUGCCUCCCGUAGGAGUCUGGGCCGUGUCUCAGUCCCAGUGUGGGGGGCCUUCCUCUCAGAACCCCUACGCAUCGUCGCCACGGUGGGCCGUCACCCCGCCGUCUAGCUAAUGCGCCGCAUGCCCAUCCGCCACCGGAUCGCUCCUUUGGCCACCGGAGGAUGCCCUCCGGUGGCGUCACGGGGUAUUAGGCCGCGUUUCCGCGGGUUAUCCCCCUGUGGCGGCCAGGUUGCAUACGUGUUACUCACCCGUCCGCCACUCA
rnacentral:rRNA from 1 species